UGACCACUCCAUUUGGAGUCGAGGCCAUACGGACAGCCGGGUCAAAUGCCGA
rnacentral:sRNA from 2 species